GGUGGCACACACCUUUAAUCCCAGCACUUGGGAGGUGGAGACAGGAAGUGAUAUGGCUGGGCAGAGAGAGGAAUAUAAGGCGGGAGGAGACAGGCACUCAGUCUCUUUCAGUCUGGGGAUUCCAAGAGGUAAGAAGUCUUUCUAGUGGCUGCUGCUCUGUUUCUCUGAUCCUUCAGCUUCCAUCCUGAUAUCUGACUCUGGGUUUUUAUUAUUAAGACUAAUUAGAAUUUAUGCUACAAAGAAAGAAUUAGAAUAACUUAGUAGAGACAUUAGUAGGAAUGGAAGGGCAGAUGGCGCUGGAACACAGAGAAGUCAAAAAAGGAGGAGAAAUGUCACACAAUUAAGUGAUUUGUUAUAGAUGAAGGGUGGGGUCCAUGAAUCUAGGGAUGAGAAGUCAAGUUUGGAGAAGCAGAGAGGCCAGUGUGAACGGCACUGCUUUCUCUGUCGGGAUCCACUAACCAAAGAGCGGUUUGUGUAUGGCAAAGACCUCAAGGUCCAUUAAAGACAGUGCCGGGUGGGAGAGAAAAAGCAAGGUCAAACUGUCAGGAAAGGGCAGGUAAGGUACUGGGGGUACGCCAGGUAAGGCACUGGGGGUACGCCAAGGGUAAUGCACACGUCCUGGGUUCGAUCCCCAGCAUAAUGAAUGAGUGUGGUCAGAGAGGAAAGCCAAGUGUGAGGAGGGAAGACAACCAGUGUUACCUCAAGUAACAGGUGACUCCAUCAUGUGCCUCCCUUCUUUUCAUUUAAAUGUGUUUGUCACUCAGAGUUCCCAUCACUGGGUGUCUCCCCUCCUCACACCCUUUGUUAACACACUUCCUGCUGGGGAUGCUGUGAAUGUGUUGCUCUGAUUGAUUGAUAAAUAAAAUGCUGAUUAGCCAGUAGCCAGGCAGGAAGUAUAGUGUAGGUGGGAUAAGCAGAGAGGAGAAUUCUGGAAAGAGGAAGGCUGAGUCAGGAGACGCUGCCAGCCGCUGCCAUAAGGAGCAGGAUGUAAAGUACCGGUAAGCCACGAGCCACGUGGCAAGGUAUAGAUUUAUAAAAAUGGGUUAAUUUAAGAUGUAAGAACUAGACAGCAAGAAGCCUGAGCCACAUGGCCAUUUUAGUUUAUAAGUAAUAUAAGCUUCUGAGUGAUUAUUUUAUAAGUGGGCUGCAGGUCUGUGGGGGCUUGGUGGGACCCAGAGAGAAACACUCCAGCUACAACUUUCUCUAGACCUCUGCUUCUUAGGCUGUGGGUCACCACCCAGCUGAAUGUGGGGGUCAUGAAGAAAAUGGCAAACGUAAGAAGUGUCUGAAUGUGGAAUGGUCAAGUUUUAGUUCAAAAUCAAACGCGUAAGGAACCCAAGGUGUUUCUCGUCAGCUUGCCCAGGCUGUACAUCAGGACUUCACUGAACCUUAGUGAACACAAGACACACACACUACACUGUGUAAGCCUUCAUGCCUCACACCAACCAAUAUUGCCUGCAUCACCUCAGCUUAGUUCAAGACUGCUGUGUGUUAUAAUCAGCACCACGACCGCACAAAGUUUUUGUUCAUUCAGAAAUUUAGUGAUUUAAUUGUGGAAAAUAGAAAGUUUUACUAUCUGCCUAUCAUCAUUCCUUAGCGCGUAAAUAUCAAAUUAGUGUAUCUUUGGGUUUUGUUGGGCUAGAAUAUUUUACUUUAAAAAUUGUUGUUUGAAGAAUAUGGGAGACGGCUUAGCUUAAAUAUUACUUGUCUUGCCAACACGAGGACUGAGUCCAAUUUCCAGAGCCCAAGUAAAAGAGCCAGACUGCACACCUGCACACACUCCCGUGCGUGCACACGCAAGUACAUGCUCGAAAUUUUUACUUCAAUUGGUGGCUUGCAUUUCAUAAAAGAAAUUGUUCAAUAAAUUUGGGUUAUGAUGGUAUUUCCAAUGAUUAUUUGAAAAGGUCCUAAACAUAUUCAUGACAUUUUAUUCUGUAUGUUUAUACAAAGAGGCAUUCACAGUAUUGACUAGAAGACUAAACUAAAAGGCGUGGGAGACACUCUACACCCCGCAGGGUGAAACAGUCAGCGAAGAUUCAAUUCCUAAUGUAAAAAUCUGAAAGUCAUUCAAGAAGCUGGAAGGGUUGGUUAGUGGUUAGUGUUCUUGCAGGAGGCCCAUGUUUCAUCCCUAGCACCCGCCUUGGUUGGCUCACAAGCACCUGUAGAUGCAGCUGCAGGAGAAUCCAAUGAUGCCUCUGGCCUCUGUUGGUACCUGCAUUCACAUGCAGCCACCCACACAGAGACAUGUACACAAAAUCCAAAAUAAAAUAAAUCUUUAAAAAUAUUAAAAUACAAGAGCUUUAAAAGUGCGUCCAUCUCAUUAAUAUGCAAACUUGGUUUUGUCUUUAACAAACAACAAAAUUACAUGUACACCAAAGGAUUGAUUUAAAAGAAAUGUGUUGCCAGUAAAUGUCUUAUUGUUACACCUAUUUUAUAUACCUAUAUACUCCGAGUUGCAUUAAGAUUCUUGGGCGAAAAGUGAUUGCGAGUGGAAAAUGAUUAAGAAGCCUGGCCCCACGUGACCUAACCAACACCCAGUCAAUCGCCUGAUCCCCAAGAACACUAUUGGUGAGAGAAGAGGCCAGCAGGGUCAUCACCACCUACAAGCAGCCUCCUGGUCACACCCCAUGGGCCCUGGACCAACGCCCAGCUGCCUCUGCAAGUCAUCAGUCCCUGACUUCAUCCCGGUUUACCUUGUAAAAGUGCAUCUCAAAAACAUCGUCCUGUUGUUUUCCUGCCAGCUGGGGAGAAGCUGCCAAAAGGCUUUCCAGAGAGCCACACCACACCAACUCGUGCUGCCUCAGAACAAAGGCUGCUCCAAAAGGCCUGCCUGGGAAGGGAGCGCCAGCAGACCUGAUAGAGAUACUACCUCAGAGACGAUUAUCGCCCCGGGGCAAAGCUCUGCUUACACUGAAGACAUACUUGACUCUCGCUUCUGUUCAGUCUUUUCUGCUGAACACUAAACUUGAAAGAGGACUCUUC